GCCGAAAUAACUCAGUUGGGAGAGUGUAAGACUGAAGAUCAAAAGGUCCCUGCUUCAAUCCCAGGUUUCGGCA